AUCACCAGUGUCACUAGUACAAUUCAAAAUAUGAAUCGAAAAUAUUUUAAAUAUCUACAACCAAAUUCUAUGGAUCCCAUACCAGCGAGUACAAAAUAUCGCAGUUUAAAACGUCGCAAACAGGAAGAAACUGUUGCUAGAUGCCAUAAAAGGAAACCUAUCCAAGAUAACGAUGAUCCUCAAGAUAUUCAGAUCCAAGUUAACAUGAAAACGGUGUGUCAGAUUGAUAACAAUUUGAAUUUCUAGCAAUUAAUUGCCUUUUUGUAUACAGGAAUUUAGCAUUGCCGAGGACAAUGGCGUAAAUAAUGCAGAAAAUUCAACUCUUCAGGAUAAUAAAGAGGAAUUUUUUCUUGCUAAUGAUCAUUUUUUUGAAAAUGAGGAUUCUCAAAUAACUGCAGAAAAAAUAAAAACAAUUAUGACAGAAUUAACUGAUGAAUUGGAAAGUACUGAUCAAUAUGCU